rnacentral:rRNA from 1 species
UACAGAGGUCUCGAGCGUUGUUCGGAUUCAUUGGGCGUAAAGGGUGCGUAGGCGGCGGGGUAAGUCUGAUGUGAAAUCCCGGGGCUCAACCCUGGAACUGCAUUGGAUACUGCCUUGCUAAAGAGCUGGAGAGGAAACUGGAAUUUACGGUGUAGCAGUGAAAUGCGUAGAGAUCGUAAGGAAGACCAGUGGCGAAGGCGAGUUUCUGGACAGCUACUGACGCUGAGGCACGAAGGCCAGGGGAGCAAACGGG